CGCUCAGUGGCACAUGGUAUGCAUCUGUUUGACCUGAAAAAUUUGCGGCAGUUAAGCAGGAAGUCCCGGUUCAAUUCCGGGUUGAGUGA